AGAGUUUGAUCCUGGCUCAGAGCGAACGCUGGCGGCAGGCUUAACACAUGCAAGUCGAGCGGGCGUAGCAAUACGUCAGCGGCAGACGGGUGAGUAACGCGUGGGAACGUACCUUUUGGUUCGGAACAACCCAGGGAAACUUGGGCUAAUACCGGAUAAGCCCUUACGGGGAAAGAUUUAUCGCCGAAAGAUCGGCCCGCGUCUGAUUAGCUAGUUGGUGAGGUAACGGCUCACCAAGGCGACGAUCAGUAGCUGGUCUGAGAGGAUGAUCAGCCACAUUGGGACUGAGACACGGCCCAAACUCCUACGGGAGGCAGCAGUGGGGAAUAUUGGACAAUGGGCGCAAGCCUGAUCCAGCCAUGCCGCGUGAGUGAUGAAGGCCCUAGGGUUGUAAAGCUCUUUUGUGCGGGAAGAUAAUGACGGUACCGCAAGAAUAAGCCCCGGCUAACUUCGUGCCAGCAGCCGCGGUAAUACGAAGGGGGCUAGCGUUGCUCGGAAUCACUGGGCGUAAAGGGUGCGUAGGCGGGUCUUUAAGUCAGGGGUGAAAUCCUGGAGCUCAACUCCAGAACUGCCUUUGAUACUGAAGAUCUUGAGUUCGGGAGAGGUGAGUGGAACUGCGAGUGUAGAGGUGAAAUUCGUAGAUAUUCGCAAGAACACCAGUGGCGAAGGCGGCUCACUGGCCCGAUACUGACGCUGAGGCACGAAAGCGUGGGGAGCAAACAGGAUUAGAUACCCCCGUAGUCC
rnacentral:rRNA from 1 species